rnacentral:lncRNA from 1 species
UCUGAGGAAGAUCAUGGAAUGGCAAAAGCUUGGAUGUGGCUAUCUUUAUUUGAUGUCUUUGCUCUUCAAGAUAAUAGAAUUGUGCAUUUGUAUGUUGCUUGAUUUUAAAAGUCCAAGGGAAUUCUGGGUUUCUAUUGACAUUCUCGUCUAUUGGAUUGCUACCCAUUGGUCAGAUCUUUUCAACUCUUAACUUUUAAUUUUGUACAUAGGAUUAGUAUCUUCAUCUUCUUCCCAUUUCUUUAAUUUCAAAAUCUC